rnacentral:rRNA from 1 species
GAUGAACGCUGGCGGCGUGCCUAAUACAUGCAAGUCGAGCGAACAGACGAGGAGCUUGCUCCUCUGACGUUAGAGGAGGAAGGGUGAGUAAAACGUGGAUAACAUAUCUAUAUAAAUGGGAUAACUUCGGGAAAAAGGAGCUAAUACCGGAUAAUAUAUUGAACCGCAUGGUUCACUAGUGAAAGACGGUUUUGCUGUCACUUUUAGAUGGAUCCGCGCCGCAUUAGCUAGUUGGUAAGGUAACGGCUUACCAAGGCAACGAUGCGUAGCCGACCUGAGAGGGUGAUCGUCCACACUGGAACUGAGACACGGUCCAGACUCCUACGGGAGGCAGCAGUAGGGAAUCUUCCGCAAUGGGCGAAAGCCUGACGGAGCAACGCCGCGUGAGUGAAGAAGGUCUUCGGAUCGUAAAACUCUGUUAUUAGGGAAGAACAAAUGUGUAAGUAACUAUGCACGUCUUGACGGUACCUAAUCAGAAAGCCACGGCUAACUACGUG